rnacentral:rRNA from 1 species
AUUGAACACUGGCGGCAGGCCUAACACAUGCAAGUCGAGCGGUAACACAGGGAGCUUGCUCUCGGGUGACGAGCGGCGGACGGGUGAGUAAUGUCUGGGAAACUGCCUGAUGGAGGGGGAUAACUACUGGAAACGGUAGCUAAUACCGCAUAACGUCGCAAGACCAAAGAGGGGGACCUUCGGGCCUCUUGCCAUCAGAUGUGCCCAGAUGGGAUUAGCUAGUAGGUGGGGUAACGGCUCACCUAGGCGACGAUCCCUAGCUGGUCUGAGAGGAUGACCAGCCACACUGGAACUGAGACACGGUCCAGACUCCUACGGGAGGCAGCAGUGGGGAAUAUUGCACAAUGGGCGCAAGCCUGAUGCAGCCAUGCCGCGUGUAUGAAGAAGGCCUUCGGGUUGUAAAGUACUUUCAGCGGGGAGGAAGGUGUUGAGGUUAAUAACCUCAGCAAUUGACGUUACCCGCAGAAGAAGCACCGGCUAACUCCGUGCCAGCCGCCGCGGUAA